rnacentral:rRNA from 1 species
ACGGGAGGCAGCAGUGGGGAAUAUUGCACAAUGGGCGAAAGCCUGAUGCAGCGACGCCGCGUGAGCGAUGAAGUAUUUCGGUAUGUAAAGCUCUAUCAGCAGGGAAGAUAAUGACGGUACCUGACUAAGAAGCACCGGCUAAAUACGUGCCAGCAGCCGCGGUAAUACGUAUGGUGCAAGCGUUAUCCGGAUUUACUGGGUGUAAAGGGAGCGUAGGCGGCAUGGCAAGUCUGAUGUGAAAACCCAGGGCUCAACCUUGGGAUUGCAUUGGAAACUGUCAAGCUAGAGUGUCGGAGGGGUAAGUGGAAUUCCCAGUGUAGCGGUGAAAUGCGUAGAUAUUGGGAGGAACACCAGUGGCGAAGGCGGCUUACUGGACGAUUACUGACGCUGAGGCUCGAAAGCGUGGGGAGCAAACAGGAUUAGAUACCCUGGUA